UCCUCCCGCCGCCUCCGCGCGGCUCCCCGGGGCGGGGGGACCGGGUUUUACAGCCCCCCUAAAUCCCCUCGGCUGGCCGGGUUGAAGCCCCUCUGGCCCUCCCGCCGGCUGUCACCGCCUCAGCCUGGCUGCUCCGCCGUGCCAGGCGGCCCUCGGCUGGGGAGAGCAUUUUGUGAGCGGAAAAUCCGGUGGCUCACGGGGAAGCGUGAGGUGUGCUCGGUACACACACACACGUGCCGGCUCUGAUGCAGAACACCUCGGACAUUCCCCUCCUGUCGCUAGAGGCGGGGGGAAACCCAAAAAAAACACCUCGCUCUGAGCCGCCGCGACUCCCCGGGUUCCUCUUGCUUUUUUUUUUAGCUCGUGAAUCGUCCUGACAACUGGAUCAGCUCUGAAAGAAAGAGUUUGUUUUUCACCUCAGAGAAAACACGGUGCCCUGGGCGGACAGCGCAGAGAACUGGCGCGUCUCCCCGGCGCUAAAGCAACGGCAGGUCUGGCGCCGUUCCCGAAUCUCGCCGUGUAUUCCACCCAAAACUGCUGGAGCCGCUCCGGUUGUCAGGGAGCAGCUUGUGUGCUGGCAGGUCUGUGCCCUGGGAGAAAAGGUGCCCAGCGAGCAGCCAGCUUGGUGCAGCGAGGGCUGCCACCAGGAGAGGUGAUGCUCUGCUCCUUGGAAACACACCGCACACGCAGCCGGGCUUGGCCUCGCUGACGUGGUGAUGUCUCUCACCCGUCUCAUUCUGCCAAGGAAUUGUGCCCUACGUCUGCUGCCGAAGUUGCAUGCAGACAACAACAAAAAAAAAAGCCCAGGAAGGUUGUGCCUUAGGGGCAAAACACGUUGCACAGUCGCGUCUGUUGAAGGAACACGUGGUUGUGCCAAGUCAAGCUCCUGAAGUCCAGAAGCAGUUUGUUGGCCAGGAGCUACUGAAACUCCUCUAUCUCUAGCUAAAGAAAGGAAGAAAAUCUUGACCUACUUGAGGAAAGAGGGUUAUUACAUUCCACAAAAUCCAGUGUGACAUAAACUUUGAGUGCACGAGCAGAAACAGGGCCCAGAACACGACUUUUCCAUGUCACGGAAGUGCUGUAAAGUUCUCUCCAAGGAGGAUCUAUCCCACCAAAUGUUUUGCCAGACGUCUGGUCUACCUGAGAGUUGUAAACCUGCUGAAAAUCAGACUUUGAUCUCAUUUGUGACCCAGCAGUUGCUGCCUGCUCACUGCAGACACUGUUAGUCCAGACAAUAUGGUAGGAAUGAAGGAGGAUAUGAACUUACCUGUUCUCUCUAGAGCAUUUGAAUUCAAAACUCUUUUAAUUUAAUAUAGAUGUUGUUGGGUUUUCCUCUCUUCACACAUGGGACUGACUUGAGAUUCCCUUUAACAUCUAUAUUCAGCCGUGAGGAAAGUCCAUUUUUGUCUGUGCUUGAAAACCUUGCACAAAUCUGUAUCCAGAAUUAUUAGAGAUACUGGAUACUCAGUGGAGCAUUUCCAGAAGUGUUACCAGCGUGAACAGCAUCAUCUGGACAACACGAGGUUUGACAGCAAUUGUCAUUUCCAGGACUGCUUUGAAUUACAGAUGCAACCAGUGGCCACUCUCCACAUCCCUAACCAGAAGCCACAGGGACCACCCAGCUGAGCAGCUGCCUCCUCAACAAAGCAGGAUGGGAAGGGUCUGACCAAAGGGCUUGGAAGCAUUUAGCCAGAAAAACGUUAGUGUCCUGGGAUCACUGCUGCAAAAUCUUCAGUCCCAUUGCAAUGCACCACCCUUCCAAGGCUGGGCAAGGUGCAAGUCAUGCAAAGUGGGAACAGGGGUUAUGUUCUCUAGAACUAAUUGUAAACCUUUUUCAUUAACCCAGGGCUGUAGAAGCGACUAAAUGGAGAGGUGGAAAAGGGGCUGGCAUUUCUUGCAUAGGAAUCAAGUAUUCAGAUUUCCUUAUGAAGCUCAUGUAGUCUUGCCAAAGGCAAAAAUUGCUGGCAAAACACGGAGCCUUGAAAAGGUUUCUGAACAGCGAAGCUGCACCUCUAAGGAGGAGACAAUUUAUAGUACUCCAGUUAUUUUUAUUUGUAACAUUCCCUGUUUUUUGCUACGAUGUACCCUUCUUAAGGAAAAGAACUAGUCAUCUGACAAAUGAUGGCACCAGUCCUUUUUUUCCAUCAGAGACUGCAGUGCACUGCAGGUGACCAACUGCUCCGUGCUCUGGGAACACCUCAGAGUGACAGCCCAAGGAAAAGAAGGGUUGUUUUCUGCUCAGUGAUGACAAUCACAAGUAGAAAGAAAAGACAGGUCAAGAGGUUUGAAGUCCAGUUAGUCCUAACUUGAGGCAGGAAAAAUGGACUAGAUGAGCCUGCUAGAAUGCCUCUGUCUUCCUGCAGGGCUUGAGCUCUUGAGUGACUUCAGGCAGCUAGACAGGGGACAGCUGGUUGGUCAGCAGCGUUGUGACCUGGCGGGUGAGACACUGGGACUGGCCAGAAAACCAGGCAGAUUUGGACACACGCUGAGCGGGUGUGCUGACCCCUCUCUGAUGUCACUCUAACUUGAGCCAAAUUAGUUAAAAAGUUACUUUCAUCAACCUGCAACUAGAUACAUUCACGCAGUAGUUAUGACUUCCACAGGGAUGACCUGUGGUGAACCUUGUCUUGUAUUAAUAGCUUGGCAAAUCAUUGGAGAAGACACUGAAAACCUCCUGAAGGCAGUUUCAGUGAGCCUGGCAGGGUGCAGGCAGCAGUCAUUCCCAAGGCCUGGCCCUGUGGGAUUCACACCCUUGCUGCCUGGGUGAAGCUGGAAGUCAGGAAGGUGAUUUCUGGAAAAGAGGGGUGUCCCGUGAAGCCCCUCCUCACAGCCAGCCCAGAGGAGGAGGAGGUACCACCCACCAUCACCCAAACACAGCACAGGGCACUGCUGAGACCCACAGCCAGUGGGUCAGCAAUCCAGGAAGCAAACACUGCUUCAUCCACAUACAAUUAGAAACAACUCAACACGGAAUAAUUAAAAAAAAAACCAACAACCCAACACUUUUUUAUUUAGACAAACACAAGAAGAGCUAGAUAGGAUUUAUGAGCCAAGUUUUUUUUGGUUGGAGAGCCAAUGUGUACUUGAAAGCAUUGCAAGAGACCAAGUCUUUAGCAGCGUGUUGUAAUCAUUUGUGAAACUGCAUGAGACAGAUGUAUUUAUUUCUUUAAACCAAUUACUUCCCGUCCUCUCAGGGAUGGAUGAGCCCCCAGCUACAAUUCCUUUUCAUUCCGGUGCUUGUGACGAUGGAGAUGAAAUGUGAUUUUCCUUUCUAAUAAAUGAUCCAAAAAAGCAAAAAAAAAAAAAAGAAAAAGCAUGUGUUUCUCUGUUCUGGAAAAUAGGUCUCGGCAUGCUGGAAAUUCUGCAUUUUAGUUGUUUUCUACCACAAAUGCUCCAUUUUUAUUUUUUUUUUAAUGAAAUGAAUAAUCGUUUUCUCUGAUUUAUGUUUUCUUUUCUGCCUCAUUUGGCACUAAUGCUAUGUUAUUACAAGAACAACUGUUCCCUGCAAAAAGAAUGAUCUUUAGACAUCUCAUCCAAAACCUUUGAAGUCACGGGAAACAAACUGAAAAGAAAGGCAGAGAGGCCAUGUACAUGAGCAGCAACUGGACACUUUCCCACUGACCAAGCAGGUUUCUUGCUCAUCACCUGAUGACAGGGAGCUGCAGUUUCCUACACCUUCUCAGACACAAAGAAAAACUCCCUUCCAGGUCAGGUACCAAGUCCACGGCUUGCAGUUUUCAGGUCAGAAGUCAGAAACGGUGAUAAAACGUGGGACAGACAGGGCACAGCCGAGUCCCAGGAGCGAAAGCAGAGGCUGGGGAAGUCUUCACUGUUGAGCAUCCCUGGGAUGUGAAGCGGCACCGUCGCCAGCUUCAGGAUAACAGCAGCAGUACCAAGUGCCACAGCUCCCGAGCUCUCGAGGUUUGAGGCAUGUGCUGGCAAGCCAGACGGCAACGAGGAGUGUUUUAAAGAGGAACUUGGAGAGGAAUCGGGAGGGAAUUAGUGUCAGGCGUGUGUAAAGAGGGUUCCUUUUCCCAUUUCCAACGUCUAUCAUUACAUCUCAAACGUGCUAAUAAAAUCCAGUGGUUACGG